GAUUCGUUUCUCAAGGCGUCGUCUUAAAGCCUCAUCUAUAUCCCAGGGAAAAUUAGUAGCUGCCAGAACCAUAACCAUUUUGGAAGGGUCAUCAUUUUCAGAAGUACCUCCAACACCUAAAAUACCAUCCAUCUGAACCAGCAGCUCCGCUUUCACCCUUCUGCUUGCUUCAUGUUCUUCAGAAGUCCCUCGGCGACUACAGAUGGAGUCUAUCUCAUCAAUAAAUAUGGUGGCUGGAGAAUAAAAUCGAGCCUAAAGGAAGAAACCAUGCAAUAUUUUCCCUCUGUCAUUGUGAACAUUCUGUGCAGAUGAACGGUGAACUCUGACAGUUGUACUUGGACGAUUACCAUGUGAUUUAGGGUCACUGUACUGAGAAGAUUGGCGUUUUCUAGGUCCUGGUGAGGGUCUAAU
rnacentral:lncRNA from 1 species